UACGUAGGGUGCAAGCGUUAAUCGGAAUUACUGGGCGUAAAGCGUGCGCAGGCGGUUUUGUAAGUCUGUCGUGAAAGCCCCGAGCUUAACUUGGGAAUUGCGCUUGUGACUGGCGUGCUGGAGUGUGGCAGAGGGAGGUGGAAUUCCACGUGUAGCAGUGAAAUGCGUAGAGAUGUGGAGGAACACCGAUGGCGAAGGCAGCCUCCUGGGCCAGCACUGACGCUCAUGCACGAAAGCGUGGGGAGCAAACAGG
rnacentral:rRNA from 1 species